AAUAUUGGACAUUGGGGGCAACCCUGACCCCGCCAUGCCGCGUGCGUGAAGAAGGUCCUCGGUUUGUAAAGCACUUUAAGUUGGGAGGAAUGGCCUUAGGUUAAUACUCUGAAAUUUUGUCGUUACCAACAGAAUAAGCACCGGCUACCUCUGCGCCCGCAGCCGCGGUAAUACAGAGGGUGCAAGCGUUAAUCGGAAUUACUGGGCGUAAAGCGCGCGUAGGUGGUUCAGUAAGAUGGGUGUGAAAUCCCCGGGCUUAACCUGGGAACUGCUUUCAUAACUGCUGAGCUAGAGUACGGUAGAGGGUAGUGGAAUUCCUGUGUAGCGGUGAAAUGCGUAGAUAUAGGAAGGAACACCAGUGGCGAAGGCGACUACCUGGACUGAUACUGACACUGAGGUGCGAAAGCGUGGGGAGCAAAC
rnacentral:rRNA from 1 species